rnacentral:rRNA from 1 species
AUUGAACGCUGGCGGCAGGCCUAACACAUGCAAGUCGAACGAGUGGCGGACGGGUGAGUAAUGUCUGGGAAACUGCCUGAUGGAGGGGGAUAACUACUGGAAACGGUAGCUAAUACCGCAUACCAUCAGAUGUGCCCAGAUGGGAUUAGCUAGUUGGUGGGGUAACGGCUAACAAAGGCGACGAUCCCUAGCUGGUCUGAGAGGAUGACGAGCCACACGGGAACUGAGAAACGGUCCAGACUCCUACGGGAGGAAGCAGUGGGGAAGAUUGCACAAUGGGCGCAAGCCUGAUGAGGCCAUGCGGCUUGUAUGAAGAAGGCCUUCGGGUUGUAAAGUACUUUCAGCGGGGAGGCGUUACCCGCAGAAGAAGCACCGGCUAACUCCGUGCCAGCAGCCGCGGUAAUUC